rfam:Schistosoma rodhaini strain Burundi genome assembly, scaffold: SROB_scaffold0001409
ACCUUGCUGAUGAGUGCCAAGUAGCACGAAACCCGGGUUCAGGGU